GACGAACGCUGGCGGCGUGCUUAACACAUGCAAGUCGAACGGGCCUGUCUUCUUUUUUGGGGGUGGGUUGAGUGGCGAACGGGUGAGUAUCACGUGAGUAACCUGCCCUUCGGUCCUGGAUAACCGCUUGAAAGGGCGGCUAAUACGGGGUGGUCCGGUUGGUCCGCAUGGGCUGGUCGGGAUAGAUUCACUGUUUUUGGUGUUUCGGCGGGGGAUGGGCUCGCGGCCUAUCAGCUUGUUGGUGGGGUGAUGGCCUACCAAGGCGGUGACGGGUUGCCGGACUGAGAGGGUGGGCGGCCACACUGGGACUGAGAUACGGCCCAGACGACUGCGGGAGGCAGCAGUGGGGGGUAUUGCACAAUGGGCGGAAGCCUGAUGCAGCGACGUCGCGUGAGGGAUGGAGGCCUUCGGGUUGUGAACCUCUGUUUCCGGUGGUGAAGGCCCUGUCCGUGUGGUGGGGUUGACGGUAGCCGGGGAUGAAGCGCCGGCUAACUACGUG
rnacentral:rRNA from 1 species